UGUGACAGAAUAGUGUGAUAAAUUUAAGAUUUAUUUAUAAAGAUAAUCUUUCUUUAGAA
rnacentral:tRNA from 1 species